rnacentral:rRNA from 1 species
UACGUAGGGUGCGAGCGUUAAUCGGAAUACUGGGCGUAAAGCGUGCGCAGGCGGUUCUACAAGACAGAUGUGAAAUCCCCGGGCUCAACCUGGGAACUGCAUUUGUGACUGUAGGGCUAGAGUACGGCAGAGGGGGAUGGAAUUCCGCGUGUAGCAGUGAAAUGCGUAGAGAUGCGGAGGAACACCGAUGGCGAAGGCAGCCCCCCUGGGCUAACACUGACGCUCAGGCACGAAAGCGUGGGGAGCAAACAGG